rnacentral:rRNA from 1 species
GCGGUGGAGUAUGUGGUUUAAUUCGAUGCAACGCGAAGAACCUUACCUGGUCUUGACAUCCCGGAGACCCUUAGGAAACUAGGGGGUGCUUCCAUCUGGAAGAAUCUGGAGACAGGUGCUGCAUGGCUGUCGUCAGCUCGUGUCGUGAGAUGUUGGGUUAAGUCCCGCAACGAGCGCAACCCUUGCCUUUAGUUGCCAGCAGUUCGGCUGGGCACUCUAAAGGGACUGCCGGUGUUAAACCGGAGGAAGGUGGGGAUGACGUCAAGUCCUCAUGGCCUUUAUGACCAGGGCUACACACGUACUACAAUGGCCGAUACAAAGGGCAGCGACACUGCGAGGUGAAGCCAAUCCCGUAAAAUCGGUCUCAGUCCGGAUUGGAGCCUGCAACUCGACUCCAUGAAGUUGGAAUCGCUAGUAAUCGUGGAUCAGCAUGCCACGGUGAAUACGUUCCCGGGCCUU